rnacentral:lncRNA from 10 species
ACAGUGAUCAGAAAGUGACUCAUAAUCAUCGCUAGUCUAGGUCUCAUCAGGUGACCAGGAGUCCACCAUGACCUUGUACAGCGCAAGCCCUUGAUAAAUGAUUCAAUUAAAUUCAAAAGGGCUUGGGCAGCAAAAAGUGUCCUCUUGCUCCAUGCCCAGCAGAGGGAGCAGAAGAAAAGGAACAAAUCCUUUCUCAGCUAUGUACUAAACACAAAGGAAGACAGAAGGCUGAGGGCUUCUAGAGGUCUCCUUAUCCACCCACCCCUCUCCCCUCAUUUUGUACAUUGUGAAACUGAGACCAAGAGAGGAAAGGGGAUUUCUCAACGUUACCAACCAAUAAGCGGAAUUCAGAAGCUGCUCA